CUUGGUUUGAAUACAGAAACUGUAAACAAUCGCCCGAAAAUCAUAACAUGCAAAAUAAUUUAUUGAUACAGAAACCCUCUUUUUUUCGCUCGUCGGCGGCCGAUCGCCGACUUUGCGUAAGUGAAUACAUGAGGUUAUUAAUUCAAGAGAUUAGUUUCAGAUUUUUUACGUCGCAUCGUCCGAAUUUUCUGUCAGGAAAGAUGUGAUAAGCCAAUUCAUUACCAGCACCUUUUAGGUCUCUUUUGAGCAAACAAAGAGAUGAAGAAGAGCCUCUGAUUAAGGCGGGUCUGCUUUGGCGUUGAGAGCCUUUUGGUUUGCAUUUUGGCUUUUCCUCGUCAAGCAAAGGGCGUCUUGAUAUUUAAAAGGUCUGGGCCACCCCUGUCUAAAUUUUUGGCUUUCCCUGACUUGUAAUCGAUUUUGAAAGAUGAUAUGUGUUUGCUUUGAUUAAAGCUCUUCGGAAAAAAGUAGCCCGAUAUUUGGCAUAUGAAGGUUUGCGCCAUAUCUACCAGAAGUGCUCCAGU